GCGUCCCAGUUAUUUUGUUGUUUCUGUGCCAAACAAAAAAAAUGAAUUCCCCGCUUUUGAAAAGUGAAAGUUUGUCGCUCAUAAAGUGGAAGAGUAAUCUGAAAUGUCUGUGCGUAAUGACCGGGACAAUAUGCGAAGGUUUGAAUACUGGACACAGGGACCUAUUAAAGUUCAAGUUUCGGUAUGGGUGAAAAAUCCGGAGAACCCUCUAGCUGCCAUCUUCCAUCUUCAUCUCCGUCAGGGAGGGAGCUUUGUGCUAGCUGAGUUGGCCGUUAAACUGAUUAUGAUUGACUAGGCGGCAGGCCGCACAAUUUAUUGAUGGCGGCCAUCCGCUCCUCCAGUAUCCCCGAGCCCCGAGCUCCACUCACAAAAGAAUCUGCAUCGAAGGCGAUGAUGAAUGCUCCAUCCAGGAGGAGGGCACAACCAAGGGCAACUUUCACUCUCUCUUUUGUUGGCGAUUCCCGGCAACAGGAGGUAUGGAAUUACAUGGGCCGUUCAAUGGGUGAAGAGGCGACAAUUUAGCCCUGAAUUUUUCGAGAUUUGACUCCCGUGACUCGCCUGCCACUUGAAUUUAUAUUCCCUGCUCUCAAAUAGCCAUUAAUAAUUCCGUUUGGCCAUUAAGUGAGACGAGGCGGCAGCAGCAGCCAUAACUCGUGAAGUUUGUCCCAGUUUUGAGUUGAUUUAUUUUCCUAUACUAAUCCCGUUUUGCUUCCUAUUCACUCCACGUGCCAAUUCGCCACAGGAUAAGCCCAUUCUUGCAACUCCUGGCACAUUCGUUUCAAUACGAACUUCCUUUACUGUAAAGCCGCCUUGACUAAUGGACCUCCGGCACUUGGCCAGGUGCAGACUGAAAUGGCCAGGAUGGCAGGUGCAA